rnacentral:misc_RNA from 1 species
GAUGAAGAACGUAGCGAAAUGCGAUAAGUAGUGUGAAUUGCAGAAUUCAGUGAAUCAUCGAAUCUUUGAACGCACAUUGCGCCCCCUGGAAUUCCGGGGGGCAUGCCUGUUCGAGCGUCUCAGGGACGAACCCUCGCGCGGGUGUACGCGCGGUCGUGGCUGCGGUGGCGUGCCCGAGGCGGCGGCCACCGCGCUGGAAUCCAUGGGCGGACGCCUGCCGCGUGGCCGAGCGUGAUAUGACGCAUUGGCGCUCGCACGCGGCGAGGCUGCCAGCCCUGGCUCGUCUGUCGGGCGGGGGAGAGCAAGACACGUGAACUCCUCGAAUCAGGUAGGGAUACCCGCUGAACUUAAGCAUAUCAAUAAGCGGAGGA